AGCCACAUCACGUUGAAACACCGGUCCCUGUACGAUCACCGAAGUUAAGCAACAUCGAGCCUGGUCAGAUGGGUGACCGCUUGGGAAUACCUGGUGCUGUAAG